rnacentral:rRNA from 1 species
UUUCGGGUGGAGAGCGUACACAGGUGCUGCAUGGCUGUCGUCAGCUCGUGUCGUGAGAUGUUGGGUUAAGUCCCCGCAACGAGCGCCAACCCCUGCAUUCAGUUGCCAUCGGGUGAAGCCGGGCACUCUGGAAGGACUGCCAUCGACAAGAUGGAGGAAGGUGGGGACGACGUCAAGUCAUCAUGGCCCUUAUGUCCAGGGCGACACACGUGCUACAAUGGCCGGCACAACGGGAAGCGAGUUCGCGAGGACGAGCGGAUCCCUUAAAGCCGGUCGCAGUUCGGAUUGAAGUCUGCAACUCGACUUCAUGAAGCUGGAAUCGCUAGUAAUCGCAGAUCAGCCAAGCUGCGGUGAAUACGGUUCCCGGGCCUU